CUUUCUUCUUUUUCUUCUCCUCUUCUUUCUCUUCUCUGUUUCUCUUCCGUUGAGAGAUUGAGAGUCAGGCGAAGGAUUUGUUGAGCACAGUCUGUUGAUAAAGAUGUAUCAAACGAGGAUAGAGGUUGUUGUUGUCUGUUGCUGAUUUAAAAUCGAAGGAGAAAGUAGAUCAGUGAGUUAGGGUUCCAGUUGAUUGGUUUAGGUUUGAUUUAAGAUGACAAUUGAAGAUGGGUUUCGAGAGCUUAAGUAGAAAAGGAAGAUUGUUAUGUCAAUUUGAAGAUUAGGUUUCAGAGAAGAAGAGUACUUUGAUAAUUAGGGGUUUUGCAUGUUGUUUUGGAGUUCGAAUUAGUGUUCUAAGAGGAGAAUUGAAGGAUGGGUUUGCGUUAAUUGAAAACUUGGAUUGAGAUUUUGAUCUUAGGUGAAGUAGAAGCUCAUGCAAUCGAAAUUGGAAUUAGGGUUUCAUACUGAUUCUGGAUUCAAAUGGAAAUAGAAGGUUUACUGGGUUGUUAAGAGAUGAAGAACGAAAGGGUUGUGUUGAAUUAACAUUGGGGAGAUGUUUUGGUAGUGAAUCGAUGAAUUAAGGUUUGAUUCUGUUUUAAUGGAGGUCUUGAAUUAGAAUUUGAUGAGAACUGUUAGUGAUGAUGGGAGUGUUUCGGUGUUGGAUGAACUGAGCUGGUGGUUUGUUGAUGUGCAAGAUGAGUAUUGAAUCAAGCUGAACCAAGAAGAAGAGACAAUUGGUUAAGAGAAGUUGUUUAGAGGUAAUUAUUCUUCCUAGUUAACUUAGUAUUGUUUAUGUACUUUCAUUACUGAGUUAUGAGUUUGUUAAAUUGAUCUAAGUUAUGAGAUAGAUGUAUGUGUAUGGAACUGGAGGAGGAACUAUUACACUGAACUGGUGAUUGAGACAAUGAAGAGAUGGAGAUGGUGGAUAUUAAAUUGAGCUACAAUUGUAGAGUGUUCAACUGGUGGUGCAUAAAUGGCUAAGAUGAACAUGGUGAUGUUGAUGUGAGAAUUUAUAAAAUUACGGUUUGAAUAUCUGGUUGUGGCAUGUUGGUGUGAAGUGGUGACCUUGCAGAACAAUAAAUGGUGAUGAUACAAUCUGGUGGAGGGAAAGAUGAGACCUGGAAUGAUGUGAUGAUUGUGUUAGUUCUAAUAUGUGGAUUGCAGGUGGUUGCAGCUGAUGAUGGGCAUUGGCUGUGAGUAUGUAUGUCAAUGGAGGAGGAUAUAGGUGUUAUGAGUUGAUCUGAGUUAAUGUUGUUGUGGCAGAGGAAGAAUAUGAAUGAAAUGUUGAUGUUCGAUGUAAAUAGGUGGAACUGGAAUGGUAUGACAGUGCAGGAAAAUGUGUUGAUGCUGUGAGAGUUCAUAUGGGUUUGGUUACAGAGGUUUGUAUUAGAUUGUAGUGAAACUGAAUGAAGAGAAGUUUAGUGUUGAUUGUGUUGAAUGAGAGUUAGAUGAAUGUGGUGAAGUUGAGCUAGUAGUUUGAUAGAAAGAGUGAAAGCUUGGAACUGCAAUUGCAGUUAGUUAUUAACAACGAUCGAUUCAAAGGAUGAACCAGUGGAUCGUGGAUCUCAAGGUAGACGUGGCUUGUCAUCAAAAGAGUUUCGAAGACAGAUCGGAGUUGCGCAGCGAAAGCUUCAAGGAGUUGAAUCCGCUUGUUAGAUUACUUCUGCUAUGUUUAUUAUGUUGUAUAUUCUAUUUGUAAACCAAAUGACUAUUGUAUAUGUAUCAUUUGAGAGAAGUUCUGGUAUAUAUAUUUCUGAAAGGGGCUAGUUUUGGGUUUAAGUUUUGUAGCAGAUUUCUUAAUUGAAUGUUUAAGGAAAUGAUUUAGAUUCUUAGUGCC